AGAUGCUGGUCUAUAAGCGCGAAAAUCGUAGAAUGUUGAUUACUUUUGUAGUCUGGGCGAUUGUCUGCUGCUGUAUCUGUAUGGAAACAGCCAAGGCAGAGGAAAUGGCUAUAGUACUGAGACCCAAGCCGACGGGUGCCAUUCAGAUGUAUCUCGAUCAACUAGACGAAACCAAGAAGAAAAACGAACGCCGUUUAAACAAAGCAGGCAAAAUGAAUAAUCAAAUUAAUUCUCUCAAGACAAUGCUAAUCGAAGCGAACAAGCGUAUUAAAGGGCUAAAAGCACAGCUGGCCAGAAUGAGUAAAGCGAAUUAACUACCUCAAUACAAACAUAAACACAAUAAAUUAACCUAUAAGUUCACAUCGAUUUCAGCCAUAAACUAGCUCAGCUAAAUUCAUCCGAUUGUAUUGCAUUUUAUCUAAACUCCAAGAGAUCUAUAGUUCCGAUUUGGCAUUUAGCUCAGCUCUAUAUGUUACGUUCAAUACGUUUCAAUAUAUCAUUCUGCAGAAUCUAAGGUUGAUGCGAUUCCAACUGUUCAGAAGGCUUUUCGAAUUAAUUAGUUCAACUUGAUUACCGGUAGUAAAAUUUAAUUGCUCUAUUAUGAGAGAGUUUUUAACAAGCCCGGCUAUUCAGUUCUAUUUGCAAUUUCGACUACGUAAGUCUAUAAGAAUUGGACCUAUAAAAUGUUCAAGGAUUUCAUAGUCUGGUCAUUUGUAUUCUCCAUGAUUUUUGUGAACGCAACAAAAGAAGCACAUGAAAUAGACAAAGCUGAUAUAUACUUGGCCAAAGUGGACAGCAGGAAGGAACAUUGGCUGCAAAGAAAAGUCACUUUACUU